AGCGAACGCUGGCGGCAUGCUUAACACAUGCAAGUCGCACGGUCGGGGGCAACUCCGGCAGUGGCGGACGGGUGAGUAACGCGUAGGAAUCUAUCCUUGGGUGGGGGACAACCGUGGGAAACUACGGCUAAUACCGCAUGAUGCCUGAGGGCCAAAGACGAAAGUCGUUUGAGGAGGAGCCUGCGUCUGAUUAGGUAGUUGGUGGGGUAAAGGCCUACCCAAGCCUACGAUCAGUAGCUGGUCUGAGAGGAUGAUCAGCCACAUUGGGACUGGGACACGGCCCAAACUCCUACGGGAGGCAGCAGUGGGGAAUAUUGGACAAUGGGCGCAAGCCUGAUCCAGCAAUGCCGCGUGGGUGAAGAAGGUCUUCGGAUUGUAAAGCCCUUUUGGCGGGGACGAUGAUGACGGUACCCGCAGAAUAAGCUCCGGCUAACUUCGUG
rnacentral:rRNA from 1 species